GGAGGAGGAGGCGGCGACGGGACGAGAAGGGAGGGGAAGGGGCCAUGGCCGCCCGGUGAGGCGGCGAGGCGGGGGGGCAGCCAGACCCCCCGGCCCCGGGCCCCGGGCCCCGGGGAGAGGCGAGGACGGACCGACGGACAUGGGGCUCCGAAGCAGCCGCCGCCGCCGCCGCCGCCGGAGGACGCGGCCCUAAGAGGCCGCCGGGCCCCGGCGCGGCCCCCCGGGCGGGGUGAGUACGGAACGGGGACGGGGGAGGGGCCUGCGGGGGGCGGGGGGCGGGGCUCAAGGCGGGGCUUGGGCCCCCUCCCCCCAGGUCUGGGUCAGCGCCCCUUCCCCUCCCCCCGGGCCGACGCGGAAACGCCCGGCUUUCCCCGGCUUCCCGGCCGGGCCGGGGCCCCCCGGUUUCCCCCUGGCUGGGUCCUCCUUGGGCGGGGCAGGGCCGGCCGGGGAGGGGGCGCGGGGCCUUUGUUAGGGAGCCAGGCCCCAGCCCCCGGGACAAUAGAGACACCCUCCCGGACUCCUCUCCCCGGCCGGUCCAGGUUCUGGACAGGCGGCGACGGAGAGGGGUCGGGACGCGUCCCACUCUGCUUUACUCUCUGGGGGUCGGUUUGUCCCGGCCCGCUGCCGGCCUUGGUCGGCUCGGCUCUCCUCCCCCCAGUCGGUAUGAUGCAGCAGCAGUACCGCAAGGACGGGAGAGGAGCCGCGGCACGGCCUGCUACCCUUCCCAGUGCCCCCGGCUCAUUUGUCAGUCCCCACCCCACUCGAGGCCGGCAGCUUCUUAAACUCGUACCCACCGUUCAGUGGGGCCCCGAACUGUGGGAGCUGUUUCUGAAUCCUACGGUGGGGAUUUCUGGACUUUGGGGCUCUUGGAGAGACUUCCGGGCUGGUCCUGAGGGAGGGAGGGUGCGAUCUGAAAGAACAGGUAAGGGGAGUGCCCACUCCUCGCGUGCGUACCACGGGGCUCUCCUCUGCUCCUGUUCGUGGUGGCUGGAAAUGCCCUUUGCCUGUAGCCUUCUGUGGGCUGUGUUCCGUGGCAGGCUUAUUUUAGGAGAAGACAGAGUGGGGUGA
rnacentral:lncRNA from 1 species